ensembl:lncRNA
GGCCAUUUCUUAAAAACACAGGCACCCCGUGUCCUAUUGAUAUGAAAUGCAGAGUAACAGCAGAGUCAAAACAUUCCGUGAUGUAACUCUUUUGCCAAACAUUGUCGGAAGAAGAUUCCGUCACGCACUUUUAUUGCAUGUUGUGGCAAACCGCUCCUCCAGACAACGCCAGGGUCCGGGGUGGGAAAUUGACAGCAGGAGAUGAUGACGUCUUCGCUUGCUGGAUCAAUGCUGAGACAAAAACCCUCUUCACUGGACAAAAACUUCAGCCAUCAAGGCUGAACCGGAAUGGUGACGACUGAAAAGGAACUUUAUUCAAGUGUAAACAGUUUGAUAGUCGUGUGGAUUUCAUAUGCCAAGACAAAAAGGGUUGUUCUGAAACACGUAUGGAUUUAUCAAACAAAGUUAAAUUACCGUGUGCAACUUAGCUAGCUAACAGUUAGUUGGCUAGCUGGCUAGCUCUUUGGACAGUACCACACAGCUUUUUACGGAACAGCUUGACUAAACUGUUAUCGAUCGGCGAACAAAGUGAGCGAUGGAGAGACACUGGCGUGUUUUCUGGUCUGUGAAAAGUGGUAGCUGACUUCUGCUUAUUUUUGGAAAUACAACCUACAGGUUGCGCGAUAUCUAAUAUUAACACUAUAUAGUUUGGAUAGUUCUCUAACGAUACUGAUGUGCCGAAGACAAAACCAAAUUGUUGGUGCCUGGAUGAAUGAGUUUCGCCACCCCACCCUUGGGCAUGUUCUGUCAUGCUACAGUCCCAGGAGUGAGUGUCUCCUGUUAUUUAAAAGGUGCUCUUAGGUUUUAUUUAUGUGAUCGUGGGGUGUCAUUUAGGGGUUUCUGUAAUCCCUACUGUCUGGCUGAUUCUGUCAAAAUACUCAGCGGAAGUUUAUGAUCUUGCAUGAGGAGGAACAAUUACACGGAGGUGGGAAGGCCAGUGUUACCUCGAGCCACCUGAGAAUGGGGAUCUGAGAAGAGCUUGUUUCAGAAUGGCAGCUGCAGGAAAAACAGAUGGGAAGCCAGUGUUUAGUAGAGGACAGCACAGGUUAGUGUGAAGAGAGAAGAGAACACAGUGUGAGACAAACCUGGUGUGCCGGUUAAUGAUUGGAUGUGGGCCUGUUAUUUCUUUUGUUUCAAAACGACCAUGUGAACUCAGUUAGGCCUAAGCUUUAUGAGAUUCCAGCAAUUAAGGGCUGGAAUGUGCCAUUUUUGCUCUUCAAAUACCCUUAACCAUCAUUAUGGUCAUUCUGCUGAUCUUGUCUUCCUGAGAAUCAGGAAACACGGCCCUGGCUUUCCUGCAUAACACACAGACACAGGCACACACACACACACACACACACACACACACACACACACCGACACCGACAGACGCAGACUCGCACACACUCACACACACACACACACACACACACACAGACGCACACGCACACACGCACACAGACGCAGACUCGCACACACUCACAGGCGCAGGCUCACACUCACACACACACACACACACACACACACAAACACAAACACAGACAGACGCAGACUCACACACACACACACACAGAGACGGAGACUCGCACACAGACUCGCACACUCACACACACACACACACACACACACAGACGCACUCACACUCACACUCACACACACACACACCGUCAUACACACAGAUGCAGACUCACACACACACAGAGAGAGACGGAGACUCGCGCACACACACACACAGACUUGCACACUCACACACACACACACACACAGACGCAGACUCAAACACAGGCGCUCACCUAUAUACAGACACACAGGUUUGCACAGUUACACUUAGACAGAGACACACACACAAAGCACUGGCAUAUUUUAACACAAAGUGACACACAGGUAACAGGCC